rnacentral:rRNA from 1 species
AGAGUUGAUUAUGGCUCAGGAUGAACGCUGGCGGCGUGCCUAACACAUGCAAGUCGAGCGAUCUCUCGGAGAGAGCGGCGGACGGGUGAGUAACGCGUGGGUAACCUGCCCUGUACACACGGAUAACAUACCGAAAGGUAUACUAAUACGGGAUAACAUACGAAAGUCGCAUGGCUUUUGUAUCAAAGCUCCGGCGGUACAGGAUGGACCCGCGUCUGAUUAGCUAGUUGGUAAGGUAAUGGCUUACCAAGGCAACGAUCAGUAGCCGACCUGAGAGGGUGAUCGGCCACACUGGAACUGAGACACGGUCCAGACUCCUACGGGAGGCAGCAGUGGGGAAUAUUGCACAAUGGGCGAAAGCCUGAUGCAGCAACGCCGCGUGAGCGAUGAAGGCCUUCGGGUCGUAAAGCUCUGUCCUCAAGGAAGAUAAUGACGGUACUUGAGGAGGAAGCCCCGGCUAACUACGUGCCAGCAGCGGC